rnacentral:lncRNA from 1 species
UUUGAAGCGAGGAUGCCGCGCGCCACAGGUCCGGAGGAGUGGAGUGUUGCGAAAGGCUCACCGCCCCGCGCAAGUCCUUCCCGCUAUAGCUGAAGCGAAAGCAACGCGAUGAAAGCCUUGGCCAACUUGGGGGGAAAAAAAAGCUUACCGUAUGGAGUCUGGGACCCCAAAACACCAUCACUCACCUUACACUCAAAGCAGUAUUUCUGGUGAACAAAUUAGCUAAUACUACCUUGAGUUCAGUACUGUUGUCACUUUUGGUCUUUACAAGAUCAGAUGCAGAUCUUUUCUAUCACUGCUUGGCAGACGCUGAAAUGUGUCGUGAUUUGCCUUAUGUUAUACACUGCAAUAAAGCUUCAUUACGAAAUCAUGUCUCAGGAUCCAAGCUUCACGAUAGUUCGCUACAUCUAAUCGCCAAAGAGGGUUAGUAAGGAUGGUCCGGGGUGGAAAGAGGUGAGAUAAAAUUCCUCCCUAAUUCCCACGUUUUCCUGUUCUCCUUAGGGCCACACUGACUUCUGCUUAGCCCAGUGCUUUAACUACCACUUUACUGAACCCAUAGAGGUAAUUCAAUUUCAUGCCUUUCACUUUCCUUUACCUCAAAAUUUCUUCCAUAGUCUAAGAAAGAGUCCUGCUUUUCCAAAGCUAACUCUUUAACUUCAUUCAUGCAACAGUUAAUGUUUAAGAUGCACCAGCACACUUGGGAGUAGAGAAUGAAAAACACAAAAUUGAGUUUAACAAUCCUUACUCCUAAUUUUAUUAGCCUGUUGGGGAAUGACACGUUUCUUUGACCACUUUACUUUUCUACGUCCUCUAAAAUACUGCUCAACUAACAUUCCCAUAUACCUUCUCUACCGGUUCCUUUCUACCUUUAGAAAUGCUGCCCCUCUCCACCCAAAACCAAAACCAAAACCAAAACCAACUCACCUGUUGCUGGAUUGUGUUUUAUCACCUUAAGACCAUUCUGUCUCUCCCACCUUUAAACUGCCUCCACUUUCACACCUUAAUGUCAUUUAUCCCAUACUUAUUUUAUCAGAACUAGCCUCCUGUCAAACUCAAUUGAUGUCUCUGCAAUUCUCCUGGCAUUUUUCUUGAAACCUUCAAGCCUUGGCAUUUCCAAACUGUAAUUACCCCUAUUCUACCCUUGUCCACACUCAAUGAACAAAGAUAAGUGGAGGAAAUUUUCUGAAUCCUGAAAAAUAAACCUAUUAGCUUUAGAGCUGAAAGGAUGCUACUUGAGUGUGUAAUGAGCCAUCCUUGUUUCACAAAGUAGCUGAACUGUCUACACCAUGAUCACAUAACUGGAGGUGAACUAUUGGAAUGUAUGUCUAUUCAUUUACCCUACACCCCUUGUACCCAACUCCAUAAAUGUCCUUUUCCUCCAUAAAAAUCAAGCGAUCAAGCUCUCCCAACACCCAGCAACCUAGUGGGACUCUAGUGACAAGGAUCUGUAAUCCAAAGUAUCUGCAAGCAAGAGAGAGAACACACUUAUGCCAGAUAACCUAAAUCUCAAUCCUGGCUCUCACUUCCUAGCUGUGCAGCCUUGGGCAAAUAGCUCUAAUCUGCCUAUUUCUUCACCUGUAAAAUGGGGAUAAUUAGAGCACUUCCCUCAGAGGUUUGUUCUAAGGAUUAAUAAAUUCACAUAAAGUAUCUGGAAGAGCACUGGCACACGGAAGUACUCAAAAAACAUUAGUGUUAUCCAACCUUACUUGCCAACUGAAAAGGAGGCAUAAAACUCCCAGUAAAUUUCAAAUCUUCUUAGACAUUGGGUAGAGCUUGCAGAAGUCCCGGGCUAGAGAUGAAUGCCUCCCAGGGAAUGAGACGUGACAUCUACCCAGUUAAGAAAAGGCAGUCAUCUCCCAUAGAUCCCCUUUACCAACUGCUUUAAGUGACAAACCUCAGCCACGGAUAUCCGAAGCCGCCUACAAUGUUACCACAAAGUUUGAUUCUAGAUUAAUCUCCCACCAGCUCCCCCAAAUAAACCUUACAUCAGACUAAUAUCCUGUUGCCCGAACACAGCCCUGUCAUCUUUCAUCUCUGGGCCAUCACCUUGGAAAUCCUACCCUCCUCUGCUUCAACUACCCCAUCUGUUGAAAUCCCACAUUGCUUCCAAACCUGGCCAGCUCAAAUAAAUCACUUUGUGUUUCAACAUUUAUAAUGAAACUGAAUCCUCACUACCUUCUGUAAAUUCCGUAAAUACCUUCUCUAUUUUUUACAUACCCCAGUGUUUUAUAGCACAGUAUCUUGCACACAGAAGAUGUUCAAUAUUCACUAAAUUGGAUAAUCUCACUUCAUUAUCCCAUUCUAACCCUAAGCACCUCUACAAUGAUUAAAAUCUCAAAGGUGUCGAUUAUUAAUUCUGAGCUAGAUUCAGUCUUAAGUGAGACCCCUUGCUUUGAACCUAAACAAACCAACAAGUCUAAAACAAGUCCUUUAACAGAAGACCUCUGAGAUUUAGAAAAGACUUUUCUUCAUACAUUGGAAUGCUAAAAUGCUAACUUGACAGACAAAAGAUUUUAAUGAUUAGUCACAAGAAAGUUCAAAUGUUCCUUAAGUUAAAAUUAAUCUCUUAUCAGUUCUUUAUCCUUUGCAGGUUAAGAAGCAUCAAAUGUAUGAGGCUACUCAUAGGAAAGAUGCCUUUGAAAAUUAGGUUAUAAAUUAUAUGAUUUUAACAAUUAUAUAUGUGAUUGAGACACAUAUGAAAUACUUUUCAAAUUACAUUCUUCUCAAGUCCUAAAGAGACUUAAAUACUUGGUAAUUCUUGAGAAAACUGAACCAAAACAAACAUUACUAGUUCUAUAGUUUUAAUCAUUUUACCAUAAUUAUUGUCAAGUACUUUCUGAUUUCAAAUUUUAAAAGUAGCAUUAAAAUAACGUGCAAUUACAGCAAAGGAAACAACCAACAAAACUAAAAGGCAACCAACAGAAUGGGAAAAGAUAUUUGCAAAUGACAUAUUGGACAAAGGACUAGUAUCCAAAAUCUAUAAAGAGCUCACCAAACUCCACACCUGAAAAACAAAUAACCCAGUGAAGAAAUGGGCAGAAAACAUGAAUAGACACUUCUCUAAAGAAGACAUCCGGAUGGCCAACAGGCACAUGAAAAGGUGCUCAACGUCGCUCCUCAUCAGGGAAAUACAAAUCAAAACCACACUCAGAUAUCACCUCACGCCAGUCAGAGUGGCCAAAAUGAACAAAUCAGGAGACUAUGGAUGCUGGAGAGGAUGUGGAGAAACGGGAACCCUCUUGCACUGUUGGUGGGAAUGCAAAUUGGUGCAGCCACUCUGGAAAACAGUGUGGAGGUUCCUCAAAAAAUUAAAAAUAGACCUACCCUAUGACCCAGCAAUAGCACUGCUAGGAAUUUACCCAAGGGAUACAGGAGUACUGAUGCAUAGGGGCACUUGUACCCCAAUGUUUAUAGCAGCACUCUCAACAAUAGCCAAAUUAUGGAAAGAGCCUAAAUGUCCAUCAACUGAUGAAUGGAUAAAGAAAUUGUGGUUUAUAUACACAAUGGAGUACUACGUGGCAAUGAGAAAGAAUGAAAUAUGGCCCUUUGUAGCAACNAAAAAAAAAAAAAAAAAAAAAAAAAAGGAGGUUAGAGUGGGAGAGAGCCAAAACAUAAGAGACUCUUAAAAACUGAGAACAAACUGAGGGUUGAUGGGGGGUGGGAAGGAGGGGAGGGUGGGUGAUGGGUAUUGAGGAGGGCACCUUUUGGGAUGAGCACUGGGUGUUGUAUGGAAACCAAUUUGACAAUAAAUUUCAUAUAUUGAAAAAAAAAUAAUAAAAAAAAUAAAAUAAAAUAAUGUGCAAUUAGAUUGGAAGUCAACAUCUGUCAGUUUUAGGUGUUAGUCUACAUACUAACUUCCUACCUUUUUAAAUAAAUGUCAUGCUUACCUCCAAUUUUUUGAUUGUUUGGAUUUUUUUUCAACAUUGUAUAAGGAGAUAUAAGCUUUACCGUCUAACAAAUAGAAUAUAGUUGACCCUUAAACAACGCAGGGGUUAGAUGGUGCCAAUGUGCCCACAGUCAAAAAUCUGACUCUAACCUUGGACUACUUAAUAGCCUACUGUUGACUAGAAGCUUUAUCAGUAACAUAAGCAGUCAAUUACCACCUAUUUUGUAUGUUAUACAUGUAAAGUAAGCUAGAGAAAAAAAAUGCUAUUAAGAAAAUCAUAAGGAAGAGAAACUUCAUUUACAGUACCAUGCUGCAUUUACUGAAAAAAAUCUAUGUAUAAGUGGAUGAGUGCAGUUCAAACCCAUGUUGUUCAAGGGCCAGCUGUUCAUUCUGUUUUCAUAAGGCAACAGAUUCAUAUCUUUUAAAAUAUAUUUUAUUAAAUAAUCUACUUGGAAAAUAAUUACAAAAGCUUUAAACAGUAAUUCCAAGUAGUAAAAGGCAAUUUCCUUUCAAAAAAAAAAAAAAAACCAGAGUCCAUUAUUAUGUUUUGCUGCUUUAUACACAGGAAUGAUUUAUUUUACAAACUAGUCAGAUCCAACAUUAGCCUGUAAAUUUUAAAACAUUUCUUAAUAUGUCUCAAAGGCAAAGUGAACUCUAUGAUAUGCUUUCACAUUAACCAGAAUGACAAACCAUAAGAAAAUUAACACCAUAACAGUUCAAGAUAAAACGAAUAGGCACUUUGAAAGUGAAAUCAGCUACUGUAAAUCUCAUAGUUCACGUUACUUGUACUUAUCGCAUUUCAUCAAAGGUUAUCAACCAGUGAGGCAAAUGUUCCUUUGAUGCAGAAGCACAAACACAUUUAGGUUCCAAACACUGUGUUCUGGUUGUAAUACAUGCAAGACGGACCCUAACUUAGAAAAAUCUUCUGAAAGAAAAUGAAGAAAAACAAAAAGCAGCCAGGAAUGAAAGCAUUUACAAGCACUUGAAUAAGGCCUUUAAGUGUUAAAUCAGUGUUUUAAACCCCUUCAUUCUCAGGUAAGGGAUUAAGAGGCCGAGAGAGAGAUCGUCUGCGAGGGUGAGGAUACUGGAGGUUGGCAGUGUCAGCAUCGCAAGAGUGCUCUACCAGAGGAGGAGGAGGAGGAGGAAGGAGCUGGGCAUAACUGGACCAUCUCGAUCCAGCCCGUGGGGAAUCCAGAGGGGGAAAGAAAUACCUGAAACAAUGAAGACAGGAACAAAACACCAAAACAAAACAAAAACAACAGAAAAAAAAAAAAAAAGAAAAAAAAACAGAAGAAAAAGAGAAAAGUAGUAAAUACAAAGAGAACCAAAGAGGAGAAAACACAUGCUGGAAAAAAAAAGCUUUAGUAUAUUCAUGCCAAAACUAACAGAACAUAAUCGCAAAAAUCAAGACCCUUACUCAAAUCAAGCUUGCUUAAGCAAGUAUAGAAACUUGAAAGAAAGAAAUACAAUCUGUUAAACUUAAAAUGUUAAAAAAAAUUAUCAGUAUGAAUGUUACAAAAAAAGACAUUUUAUAAUUUAAAACAUUUUCUAAUCUUUCAGAAACAUAUUUGAUGCGAUCCUGGAAAUUUACAAAUCUAAUAAGCUUUUUAUUUUAAGCAAUGCUUCGUUUGUAGUAGCAGCAGGCACAUGUUUUGUAGUGCAUACAGGACACUGAGAACCAAUCCAAAUAUACUUUCACAAAGUAUGGCCAGCUAUUGCAAUAUACUUCUGAAGAAAUACAAUCUUUGAAAACACUUAGCUGCUUUUCUGCAAAAACUUUAAAUAGUACAAAAUUUUGAUAAGUAAAAGAGCUCAAAGAAUAUGUCCUAUUGUUAUUCUUCUGCCAUUUUAUAACUUACCCGUAAUACUUAAGCACAUUAGCAAACAAAGACUUAUAGCUUUGUCAUCAAGGUCAAAGUUCUAAAGAAUAUGAAGCAGCCAACUAAAUUAAAAUCCUGAGGCUUGGAAUGUGGAGGUUAAUGUGCAUGCACAAUUUCAGCAAAUUUUUAACUGCUCCUCUUAAGUAUGUUUCCAAAUUUUGACUUGAAGGAAAACUUAAGCCAUGGAAUUACACCAUAAAAAAUAUACAAGCACAUAUUAGAAACAUUUAGCUCUUUAGUGAAUAUGAAUUGAAAACUUACAAAGAUGUUUUCAUUUUACUACCAUAUUAUAAAUGAAGCAAUACCAUAUGUUUAAUUUGGCCACAAACUGUACAGUCAAAUUACUUUCAUUUCACUACUACUUCUCUCACUCCUUUACUAAUAUUUUUUAAAUAUUACAAAGAAAUGACAGAGUUGUAUUAAAUAAUAUCACGUAUAAGCCAAUUCUACAAAAGGUAAUAAACAGAUUAGCACUCAAAACAAUCUUUAUGAAAAAUAUUUAUUCAAUCUUCAAAUUAAAAUUAUAAAAAUUCAUCAUUUUCGCUGUUUUAGAAAACAAAAGAAAUAAGCCUAUAUUCUCCAAAUGGAAUAAAGUGGUAUUUUCCCUCCUCCCAACUACUUACAAGGAUAGUAACAAUCCUUUUAAUUUUAAACCCAUGUUAGUUUCGGGAACAUUUCAAAAAAUUGUUUUGGUGACAAUGUCUCAACAAAAAGCCUCUCCAUUUAUAUUUCAAAAGUUUCAAAUAGUGUCAAUAAACUGGCUAGUACAAAAAAAAAUGAUAUACACGGUAUUUUUAAAGGCCUUUUGGAUUGCGUUUAGUAGUAAGCAGGCUGCUGGUGUAUCUUGGGAGAGGUCAAACGGCGCUGGGGAAGGGGAAAAGGAGCUCGCUUUCCAUUCCUGUGUGCAUGCAACAAGCAGCAAAACAGCAAAGUUACUCCAGUUAGCUGGUACUCAGCUGUGCUUUCUGUUAAAGGACAUAAUACAAAUGGAGAAGGGAAAAUGCAUCACAGAUCUAACACACACGGUUAUUGGCACAAUAAGAAUACAGAUCAAAACUUCAAAGCUCUUUACAAAAGAAUAUACACAGUACAGGCAGCAACCAAAAAUCAGAUUUUUUUUUUUUAAUUAACAGUAGUAUCCUUUGUUUCAUGAAAUCAUUUUUAUAAUCUGAUCUCUUCUGUGGUAACCUGAAAUUGUUUACAUGCAAAUACUUAAAUCUCAGAAUCAAACAGGACUUUUUAAAUAAAAAUUUAACAUUAUAAAAAUAGUUGAAGAAAUUUUAAAUAGAAUUCUAAGAUGACAACAGAAUAACCACAGGACAGUUUGUUAAUAAGGACCAUGCUUUGAAGUUUCCUGAAUCGUAUUCCAAAUUAUUCACAAAGGCAUAUUAAAAUAAGCUGAUCUUAAAAAUUCACAUAUUUGAAAUCUGAAUAUGAAAACAAAGGAUGACUCUUCAGAUCACAUUGUUUGUCAAGAUAAACAAGAAUCUAAAAUAUAUGAAAAAUUC